rnacentral:rRNA from 1 species
AUUGAACGCUGGCGGCAGGCCUAACACAUGCAAGUCGAACGGUAACAGGAAACAGCUUGCUGUUUCGCUGACGAGUGGCGGACGGGUGAGUAAUGUCUGGGAAACUGCCUGAUGGAGGGGGAUAACUACUGGAAACGGUAGCUAAUACCGCAUAACGUCGCAAGACCAAAGAGGGGGACCCUCGGGCCUCUUGCCAUCGGAUGUGCCCAGAUGGGAUUAGCUUGUUGGUGGGGUAACGGCUCACCAAGGCGACGAUCCCUAGCUGGUCUGAGAGGAUGACCAGCCACACUGGAACUGAGACACGGUCCAGACUCCUACGGGAGGCAGCAGUGGGGAAUAUUGCACAAUGGGCGCAAGCCUGAUGCAGCCAUGCCGCGUGUAUGAAGAAGGCCUUCGGGUUGUAAAGUACUUUCAGCGGGGAGGAAGGGAGUAAAGUUAAUACCUUUGCUCAUUGACGUUACCCGCAGAAGAAGCACCGGCUGACUCCGUG